UCCUGAGAGCAGGGGCAGGCCACCUCUGUUCUCAUGUGACAUAUGCCUAUAAAGAGCGGACAUUUUCCGGGCCACACCUAGGGUCGGUCAGAGGAUUUUACGCGUCAGUCGCUCGGCCGGAGUUCCUUGAUUGCUCAGACCAGGAACGUUUGUGUGGCCCUCCGUUCAUUGUCGACAGGUCAUGUGUUGCAUUUAUAUAUGAUAUACAUCAUGCUUGUGCCUGCUAAUGGUGACUACUGGAUGAGACUGGUGGCUGUGGCGACUGAGGGAGACUGGUGGCUGUAGACAGUGUGCUGGGAAUAAAGAGGGCAAAUUUACCAAUGGAGAGGAGAAAGCUUUGAUGCACAUGGAUUGAAUUCUCAAUCGCAGCCUAAUCUGUGCCACAACAUUGGAGGAUUCCAUGAGGGAAUCAUUCGUUGCCAAACGGAACAGCUGCUCGACAUCCUUUAAGAGAGUGAAGACCUCAUCCGAUGGCCGGUCUAAUGCACCCGUUUUAAACUCUUUCAUCUGCAGCAAGACGGCACUCUGACUCUCUGUGUUGGUAUUGAUAGGUGCUUCAACCAAUGCACACUGGCA